rnacentral:rRNA from 1 species
UACAGAGGUCCCGAGCGUUGUUCGGAUUCACUGGGCGUAAAGGGUGCGUAGGUGGCGAGGUAAGUCGGAUGUGAAAGCUCGGAGCUCAACUCCGAAAUGGCAUUGGAAACUACCUUGCUCGAGGGUUGGAGGGGGGACUGGAAUGCUUGGUGUAGCAGUGAAAUGCGUAGAUAUCAAGCGGAACACCGGUGGCGAAGGCGGCGACCUGGUCCGUGACUGACGCUGAGGCGCGAAAGCUAGGGUAGCGAACGGG